GAGAGAGAGAGAGAGAGAGAGAGAGAGAAUCCUUAGGAAAGAGAAGAAUGGUGCACCCCUCCUGCCCUAUAGUUUUAUUGGAGGUCUCACAGAAGUUUCCAGAGAGCUCUGCCCAGGUCUACCUCUUGACUUUUGACUGACAGCAGGAUUGCAUCAGACUUCCAAGUCCCCACUGUGCAUGAUAAGAGAGUCAAGGUAGGGCUGGGGCUGGGGCUUAGUGUGAGCCCUGGGUUGUGUGAGACACUGGGUUCCAUUCUCAGCAUUAUGUAUAAAUACAAUAAAGGUCUAUCAACAACUUAAAAAAAAAAAAAGAUUCAAGGUAACUCUUGAUCACUUUGGCCCACACUGACUGGUUCUAAUUGGAACUUAGAUCUUACAGUUAGGGGCUUUCUUCUAUCAUAUAUCCCUGAGUUCUAGAAUCUGGUCUGUGUAAAGGUCACAAAAGCCCCUUCUCCUUCAGGGUAACUUGUGUUCUUAUCAGGGAAGAAAGAGCAUUUUGGGCCUGCAUUUCAUCUGCAUAAUAGGUUGUUUGCUGAGGAAUUUAGCAUAUCCUAUUGACUUAAGUCAGGGAGGGCUGUGGGUAAAUUGUUUUUUAAAAGAAAGCAAGUGGGGGCUGGGGAUGUGGCU
rnacentral:lncRNA from 1 species